CGGUGUCCGGCACGUCGCCAUGCGAUGAUACGCAUGCAACAUGCUGGUUGUGCAGAAAAUAAGGGCACAGAACAGAAAAUCGCACGCACAAACUACAUGUAUCCGACUGUCAGAUGGAAACGCUGCACGCAGAGCGUCAUCGCAUAGGAACGUGUCGGACAAAGGCGCACAAUGCAGUUCAGGCCUAACACAUCAAAUGUUGAAAAACACGAACUUCCCUUUUUAAGUAUGAGAAAGCAAAUAACAGAGCAACCCAUUAUUACCUGUUCAACUGAGAUUUCAUCAAAAGCCUUUACAUAUUGUUGGUAGACAUUUUUCGGAUUUCCAGCUUCAGUUACAACAACGUCACCAUGAGGCUUUUUGACUGGGAAAAAACACACCACCAUUGAAUAAGACACCACUAUCAUCUGACCCAAGAGUUGUGCUAUGAAUAACUACAUCACCAUGCUCCCUAUUUAGUUUAAUAAGCUUAUCAAAAUAUAUAGAAGAGUCCCUUGAGUAACCUUUAAGAUAAAUUUCAUUAUGUUCUAGAAUG